GCGCCUGGUUUCUGACAAGCAGUUAAGAACAUCUCUGAGUGUCCUCAGAAACACUUGAUGACGUCGUUUCUCCUGGCACUGGGAAACAUCUACAAGUCUGAGAUAAACAAGCUGGCUGACCCUCAGGUGCCUGAUAGUCAAACAGGAUACCUGCCCACUAUGUCUAUCCGCAGGCUUUUGUGCAGCCGGGAGUGGUCAUUCCACAUGUCCAGCCGACAGCAGCUGCCGCCUCCACCACCCCUUACAUUGAUUACACUGGAGCUGCAUACGCACAAUACUCAGCAGCUGCUGCUGCUGCCGCCGCCGCUGCUGCCUAUGACCAGUACCCCUAUGCAGCCUCUCCAGCUGCUGCAGGAUAUGUUACUGCUGGGGGCUAUGGCUACGCAGUCCAGCAGCCAAUCACCGCAGCGGCACCUGGGACAGCUGCCGCCGCCGCUGCAGCAGCUGCUGCCGCUGCAGCAUUUGGCCAGUACCAGCCUCAGCAGCUGCAGACAGACCGAAUGCAAUAGACCAGCCAUCUGAUCAAAGUUGAAUUGUUUUCUCUUUCCCUCCCAAUUUUCCAAUUUUUAGUAGCUAAUAAGAGAGUUAACAUUGACUUAACAGCUUUAAAAAAAAAAAAAAAACAGCCAUGCUAUUGUGAAGCAGAGUUAUUAUUUUUUUUAUACUCCAGGUAGUGUUCUAGAUGAGAAAGAGGUAAGAAUGAGGGGAAUGGGCACAAUUUUGGAAAUCAAUCCCAAAGAGCCUGAGUAAAUGAAAGGCCACUACGAAAUGACGCCAGGAGUAACAACGGAACUUCACUUUUGUAACGGGAUUUUUAUUUUUGCUCUUUUUAUAGUAUCAGGGAAGCAAACUGCCUUUUACAAGUUAGAAAAUGCUGUUUGAAUCUAGUUGAACCAGGGAAUACAGAGCGAGCAAUAUGUAGCUUGAAUUACAUUUAAAAGCAGAUUUUUUACAAACAAAAUGGCGAAAGCACUGAUUGUCAUUUUUAGCAGUCACUUAAGGCCUAUAGAACUUUUUUCAAGUCGGAAGGUCCUGUUCUUACUAUCUCAAAAAUGGGCAUCGAACAGUCAAUCUAGGAGCGUGGCAGUGGGUAAAAUGGUGGACAGGCACCAAAGCUAUUUUCUCAUCUGUCCUGUGGAUGAGUGGAACUGUGGAACAAGUGAUGUGGAAUUAAUGGGUGCAACAGCUGUACAGACAAUCAAUAACACACACAGUUCUGGAAAGAACACAUCACUUGUGCUUGUUUGAUGAGCUUGUCACAUUCUAAUCCCUCUCCCCAUCCUGUUUCAAUUUUGGGAAACUUGUAUCUGCUGGUGUCAGCAAUUCUGAUUCUGAAAUAGGAUCAGGCUUUUACUACAACAGCCUUCUCUUUCUAUUUAUUGUGUCGACUCGUGGCUUAUGAAUAAAGGCAGGCAAAG
rnacentral:sRNA from 1 species